rnacentral:rRNA from 1 species
UACAGAGGGGGCUAGCGUUGUCCGGAAUCAUUGGGCGUAAAGCGCGUGUAGGCGGUCCGGUAAGUCCGCUGUGAAAGUCGGGGGCUCAACCCUCGGAUGCCGGUGGAUACUGUCGGGCUUGAAUUCGGGAGAGGGAUGCGGAAUUCCAGGUGUAGCGGUGAAAUGCGUAGAUAUCUGGAGGAACACCGGUGGCGAAGGCGGCAUCCUGGACCGAAAUUGACGCGUGAGGCGCGAAAGCCAGGGGAGCAA